UACGGAGGGGGGCAAGCGUUGUUCGGAAUUACUGGGCGUAAAGGGCGCGCAGGCGGCUGCUCAAGUCAGGCGUGAAAGGCCUGGGCUCAACCCGGGAAUUGCGCUUGAGACUGGGCUGGCUUGAGUGCGGGAGAGGAUGGUGGAAUUCCCAGUGUAGAGGUGAAAAUUCGUAGAUAUUGGGAAGAACACCGGUGGCGAAGGCGGCCCUCUGGACCGGUACUGACGCUGAUGCGCGAAAGCGUGGGGAGCAAACGGG
rnacentral:rRNA from 1 species